rnacentral:rRNA from 1 species
UACGAACCGUGCGAGCGUUAUUCGGAAUCAUUGGGCGUAAAGCGCACGUAGGCGGUCCGGUAAGUCGGGAGUGAAAUCCCUCGGCUCAACCGAGGAAGUGCUUUCGAAACUGUCGGACUUGAGUAUGGAAGAGGGUCGCGGAAUUCCCGGUGUAGAGGUGAAAUUCGUAGAUAUCGGGAGGAACACCAGUGGCGAAGGCGGCGACCUGGGCCAAUACUGACGCUGAGGUGCGAAAGCGUGGGGAGCAAACAGG